rnacentral:misc_RNA from 1 species
GUUUUGAGUGUUAAUUCUUCCCAUAAAUAGAUUACUUUUACUUGGAAACAAGUAAAAUUUGGAUGUGAGAUGAGCCAAGUUAACUUGGAAAGGGCCAUGGCUGAACCCACAAAACUAAUACCAAAAAACUACUUAAGACUGCAAAACUAAAGGUAUGAAUAAUUUUAUCAUAAUUGCAAUAUAGCCUUUGUUACUAGUAAAGUAGAAUCCUUUGAUGUAGAAAGAGAU